ACUUGAGUUUCAAAAACUAAAGUUUCUGAAACCUCCAUCUAAUGAGUUUAAGUCUCAGUGGCCCUUAGCAGCAGCUCCAUUCGUGUGGCCAUGCUGGAGGAAAAUGGGGAGCGCGUCCUCAUGGAAGGGAAGCUCACCCACAAGAUCAACACUGAGAGUUCUCUCUGGAGUCUUGAGCCCGGGAAGUGCGUUUUGGUGAACCUGAGCAAGGUGGGCGAGUAUUGGUGGAACGCCAUCCUGGAGGGAGAAGAGCCCAUCGACAUUGACAAGAUCAACAAGGAGCGCUCCAUGGCCACCGUGGAUGAGGAGGAACAGGCGGUGUUGGACAGGCUUACCUUUGACUACCACCAGAAGCUGCAGGGCAAGCCACAGAGCCAUGAGCUGAAAGUCCAUGAGAUGCUGAAGAAGGGGUGGGAUGCUGAAGGUUCUCCCUUCCGAGGCCAGCGAUUCGACCCUGCCAUGUUCAACAUCUCCCCGGGGGCUGUGCAGUUUUAAUGACCAGAAGGAAAGGAAACCCUCGCCGGUGGGGAGGCAGAGCCUUAUCCUCGGCUGCCCUUCUCGGCUCCCUGCAUUCCAGGGACUUACUCGUCUUGUUUACCCCUAGCCGUCCUUU
rnacentral:sRNA from 1 species